rnacentral:rRNA from 1 species
GACGAACGCUGGCGGCGUGCCUAAUACAUGCAAGUCGACCUUAGUGGCGGACGGGUGAGUAAUAUAUCGGAAAGUGCCCAGUAGCGGGGGAUAAAUCUUCGAAAGAGUGGCUAAUACCGCAUACUAUGGGAACGGCAGAUAUCGGAUUAGCGAGUUGGUGGGGUAAAGGCUCACCAAGGCCACGAUGGAUAGCCGGCCUGACAGUGUGAUCGGCCACACUGGGACUGAGACACGGCCCAGACUCCUACGGGAGGCAGCAGUGGGGAAUUUUGGACAAUGGGGGAAACCCUGAUCCAGCCAUGCCGCGUGUGUGAAGAAGGUCUUCGGAUUGUAAAGCACUUUAAGUUGGGAGGCGUUACCAACAGAAUAAGCACCGGCUAACUUCGUGCCAGCAGCCGCGGUAAUUC